GCUGCAGCGUAGGCAGAGGUGCUCUGGGUUGGUUCUGCUGCCGGGCGCAGGUCCGCGAAGGGGAUGUGGUUGCAUGCUGGAGAGUUUUGUUUGCUGAUGGUGGUUAUAACUGUGAUUCCUCUGAGGGGUUUGCAGAGCUAGGCCCUCGGCUGAUUUUCUGGCUGCAGAGCUCAGAGCCUGGCAGCAGCCUGGCGGGCGAGCCCCCAACAGCAGGACGCGCACAGACACCGAUGGGCCCCGUUCCAUCGUCUCCACGCAGGCCAGACCAAAGGCCCACCCAGCCCAGGGUCCGGUCUGCCACAGCGGCCAGGGCCAGCUGCCCUCGGGGGAUGGAACGGGGAAUCCGCACGUGGCCCCUCCCGGUCACCCGUUCCCAGCCUGGGACACGCAGAGGCCGGGGACACCCCCCUGCCCGUUGGUCUGACCCAGGAUUGCUGAGCUUUGGUUCAGGUUAUUUCACCUCGUCUCUGGUUCAUUCCUAGCCCCUGCACUGGCCGGGCUGCGGUGGCAGGCGAUACGGGUUGAACCUCUCUCAUCCGGCACCAUCGGGACCAGACCGGUUCCAAACACGAGCGUUUUCCGGACCAUGGAGCCUUUCCUGCAGCUUGCAUGGCGCUCGGCGGCCCCGGCCCUCCCCGCCAGCCCGUAGUCUCGGCCGGGCGCCAGCCCCCAGAAGCCGGGCGGGGAGCCGCACGAGAUGGGCACUCUCCUUGGGCUCUGCAGCCUGCCGUUUGUUUUGAAAACCAACCACCCCGAAGUCAGCGUGGGAAGGAGCUGUGAAUGAGACAAGGCAGAAACGACCCAGGAAAGGUGCUUUUGUGCCCAGGGUUGGGUUGCAAUAUGGCGAUGGGAUACGCCGGGUGCAGCGCCUCCCCCGGGCCGUGGCUGUUUUCCUCUCUAAUCUCUCUGCGCGUCCCAGUGACGCUCGCCAGCCUGGGCAGGUGGUCGGUGAUGUAUCUGCCACUACAGCCUAGAGCCUGGAGUUACCGUCCGUCGAUUCAAUGGCACAAUUUGGUUCAUUUAAGGUUUUUACUGAAUUUGAUUCUAUGCUCUUUCACACAGCGCCACGCCCCCACCCGCGCGGUGCGCUCUGUCCUGCCGCUGUCUUUUGUGCCCUGGUACGACUGUAUCCCUCUGUCCACAUGCCACCUCGUUUCUGUGAUGCCUGUUCCAUCCAUAGCCUCCUUUCACACCAGGCGAGACGGUGAACUAGCGUUAUUUCGAUUUCUCGGGUUCGUAUUAAGCACUGAAAAUUGCCACUUUUUAGCUGCCUGCUAUAAGCUCCUGUGAUUGGGCGGGACUGGUUUUUUCAUUUGUCUGUUUCUCAUCAGCUCUUACCUGCAUUUUAUCGCUUCCAUCCUCCCCUCCUCACCAGGAUACAGAGAAGCUCUGGCAAUAGACCUUCCCCUAAGGCUGUCUCUGCCUAGUCCAGGGGUUCCCAACCUUUUUUGGUCCCCGUACUCCCUUGGCUUUUAGUGAACCUUCCCGUACCCCCUAGUCAAUAGGAAAGGAAAUCAAUUCCAGACUCUGGAAUCCACAACCUUUUUCACUAACUCUGCUACUUUU